rnacentral:tRNA from 1 species
CUGUGGCCUAACGGAUAAGGCGUCUGACUUCUAAUCAGAAGAUUGCAGGUUCGAGCUCUGCCUGGGUCA